AUUCAGCUGACGAACCCCAAAUAAGACGAAACGCGUGUCUUGGAU
rfam:Schistosoma mansoni strain Puerto Rico chromosome W, complete genome